AUGGGUGCGUAACACGUAGGUGACCUGCCCGGAAGUGGGGAAUAACAGUCCGAAAGGACUGCUAAUACCGCAUGCGGUGCGCGGGGUUUGAGACCCGCGCUCCAAAGGUACUCGCAAGGGUGCCGCUUUCGGAGGGGCCUGCGGCCCAUCAGCUAGUUGGUAGGGUAAUGGCCUACCAAGGCAACGACGGGUAGGGGACCUGAGAGGGUGACCCCCCACACUGGCACUGACACACGGGCCAGACUCCUACGGGAGGCAGCAGUCGGGAAUAUUGCCCAAUGGACGAAAGUCUGAGGCAGCAACGCCGCGUGCGCGAUGAAGGCCUUCGGGUCGUAAAGCGCUUUUCGGGUGGAUGAGAGCGGACAGUACACCCGGAAUAAGGUACGGCUAACUACGUGCCAGCAGCCGCGGUAAAACGUAGGUACCGAGCGUUAUCCGGAUUUACUGGGCGUAAAGCGCGUUCAGGCGGUUCGGCAAGUCGGGCAUGAAAUCUCUCGGCUCAACCGGGAGAGGUUGUCCGAUACUGCUGGACUGGAGGGCAGUAGAGGGUGGUGGAAUUCCGGGUGUAGUGGUGAAAUGCGUAGA
rnacentral:rRNA from 1 species